rnacentral:rRNA from 1 species
AACGAACGCUGGCGGCAUGCCUAACACAUGGAAGUCGAACGAGACCUUCGGGUCUAGUGGCGCACGGGUGCGUAACGCGUGGGAACCUGCCCUUAGGUUCGGAAUAACUCCCCGAAAGGGGUGCUAAUACCGGGUAAUGUCUGCGGAUCAAAGAUUCAUCCUCUUUGGAUGGGCCCGCGUUGUAUUAGCUAGUUGGUAGGGUAAAAGCCUACCAAGGCGACGCUCCAUAGCUGGUCUGAGAGGAUGAUCAGCCACACUGAGACUGAGACACGGCCCAGACUCCUACGGGAAGCAGCAGUGGGGAAUAUUGGACAAUGGGCGAAAGCCUGAUCCAGCAAUGCCGCGUGAGUGAUGAAGGUGUUAGGGUUGUAAAGCUCUUUUACACGGGACGAUACUGACAGUACCGGGAGAAUAAGCACCGGCUAACUCCGUG